rnacentral:rRNA from 2 species
GAAACGACUGCUAAGACUGGAUAGGAAACAAAAAGGCAUCUUUUUGUUUUUAAAAGACCUUCUUAUGAAGGUAUGCUUAAAGAGGGGCUUGCGCCACAUUAGUUAGUUGGUAGGGUAAAAGCCUACCAAGACGAUGAUGUGUAGCUGGACUGAGAGGUUGAACAGCCACAUUGGGACUGAGACACGGCCCAAACUCCUACGGGAGGCAGCAGUAGGGAAUUUUCGGCAAUGGAGGAAACUCUGACCGAGCAACGCCGCGUGAACGAUGAAGUAUUUCGGUAUGUAAAGUUCUUUUAUUGAAGAAGAAAAAGUAGUGGAAAAACUAUAUUGACGUUAUUCAAUGAAUAAGCCCCGGCUAACUAUGUGCCAGCAGCCGCGGUAAGACAUAGGGGGCGAGCGUUAUCCGGAAUUAUUGGGCGUAAAGGGUGCGUAGGCUGUUAGAUAAGUCUAUAAUUUAAUUUCAGUGCUUAACGCUGUCUUGUUAUAGAAACUGUCUUGACUAGAGUGAGAUAGAGGCAAGCGGAAUUCCAUGUGUAGCGGUAAAAUGUGUAAAUAUAUGGAGGAACACCAGAAGCGUAGGCGGCUUGCUGGGUCUUUACUGACGCUGAGGCACGAAAGCGUGGGUAGCAAACAGGAUUAGAUACCCUGGUAGUCCACGCCGUAAACGAUGAGUACUAAGUGUCGGGGUAAAACUCGGUACUGAAGUUAACACAUUAAGUACUCCGCCUGAGUAGUACGUACGCAAGUAUGAAACUUAAAGGAAUUGACGGGACUCCGCACAAGCGGUGGAUCAUGUUGUUUAAUUCGAAGAUACACGAAAAAUCUUACCAGGUCUUGACAUACUCUGCAAAGCUAUAGAAAUAUAGUGGAGGUUAUCAGGGAUACAGGUGGUGCAUGGUUGUCGUCAGUUCGUGUCGUGAGAUGUUAGGUUAAGUCCUAAAACGAGCGCAACCCUUGUCGUUAAUUGCCAGCACGUAAUGGUGGGGACUUUAGCGAGACUGCCAAUUAAACAUUGGAGGAAGGUGAGGAUUACGUCAAAUCAUCAUGCCCCUUAUGAUCUGGGCUACAAACGUGAUACAAUGGCUGUGACAAAGAGUAGCUGAAACGCGAGUUUUUAGCCAAUCUCAAAAAAGCAGUCUCAGUUCGGAUUGAAGUCUGUAACUCGACUUCAUGAAGUUGGAAUCGCUAGUAAUCGCGAAUCAGCAUGUCGCGGUGAAUACGUUCUCGGGGUUUGUACACACCGCCCGUCA